rfam:Canis lupus familiaris chromosome 6, whole genome shotgun sequence.
GUGCUCGCUUCAGCAGCACAUGUACUAAAAUUGGAAUGAUACAGAGAAGAUCAGCAUGGCCCCUGUGUGAGGAUGACACGCAAAUACACGAAGCGUUCCAUAUUUCU